GACGAACGCUGGCGGCGUGCUUAACACAUGCAAGUCGAACGGAAAGGCCCUGCUUUUGUGGGGUGCUCGAGUGGCGAACGGGUGAGUAACACGUGAGUAACCUGCCCUUGACUUUGGGAUAACUUCAGGAAACUGGGGCUAAUACCGGAUAGGAGCUCCUGCUGCAUGGUGGGGGUUGGAAAGUUUCGGCGGUUGGGGAUGGACUCGCGGCUUAUCAGCUUGUUGGUGGGGUAGUGGCUUACAAAGGCUUUGACGGGUAGCCGGCCUGAGAGGGUGACCGGCCACAUUGGGACGGAGAUACGGCCCGGACUCCUACGGGAGGAAGCAGUGGGGAAUAUUGAACAAUGGGCGGAAGCCUGAUGCAGCACCGCCGCGUGCGGGAUGACGGCCUUCGGGUUGUAAACCGCUUUAGCCUGUGACGAAGCGUGAGUGACGGUAAUGGGUAAAGAAGCACCGGCUAACUACGUG
rnacentral:rRNA from 1 species